GGUCCCAUCGUCUAGUGGCCUAGGACACCGGCCUCUCACGUCGGUAACACGGGUUCGAGUCCCGUUGGGACCACCA
rnacentral:tRNA from 1 species